rnacentral:rRNA from 1 species
AACACGUAGGUAAUCUACCCUCAGGCGGGGACAACUUUCCGAAAGGAAAGCUAAUACCGCAUAAGACCACGCCCUCCUCGGAGGAAGUGGGAAAAGAUGGCCUCUUCUUGAAAGCUAUCACCAGAGGAUGAGCCUGCGUCCCAUCAGCUAGUUGGUAAGGUAACGGCUUACCAAGGCUUAGACGGGUAGCUGGUCUGAGAGGAUGAUCAGCCACACUGGCACUGGAACACGGGCCAG